CUUGACAUGUCUGGAAGCCGAAGAGAUUUGGCCGUGCUCGCAAGAGAACCCGGAACACAGGUGCUGCAUGGCUGUCGUCAGCUCGUGUCGUGAGAUGUUGGGUUAAGUCCCGCAAACGAGCGCAACCCUUGUCAUUAGUUGCUACGCAAGAGCACUCUAAUGAGACUGCCGGUGACAAACCGGAGGAAGGUGGGGAUGACGUCAAGUCCUCAUGGCCCUUAUGGGUAGGGCUUCACACGUCAUACAAUGGUCGGGACAGAGGGUCGCCAACCCGCGAGGGGGAGCCAAUCUCAGAAACCCGAUCGUAGUCCGGAUCGCAGUCUGCAACUCGACUGCGUGAAGUCGGAAUCGCUAGUAAUCGCGGAUCAGAAUGUCGCGGUGAAUACGUUCCCGGGUCUUGUACACACCGCCCGUCACACCAUGGGAGUGGGUUUCACCAGAAGUAGGUAGCCUAACCGGAAGGAGGGCGCCAACCUGUGGG
rnacentral:rRNA from 1 species